UUCUGUGCAUGGUUUGGAACUGGAAGGAGGAAGGGCAGGGAGAGUUCUGUGUCAGUUAAUCCCUGAUUACUGUGGGGAUUAGCCAGCUCUGUUCUCUCUCUGAGGUGAAAGAAAGAAACUCUUGAAAUAUCUUGAGGGUUUUUUCCUUUCCUCACUGUGGGAAACGUCAGGAAGAAGACUGGUUUAUACCUGCUGCUGUGACAACUUUUGUUUGAAGGAAGAAAGACCAGAAGACCUGCUUGCCUAGACUCUGAGUCUUACGUCAGAGCCACACUCUGUUCAGCAAAUAUGAUCCGUAUGCAGUCUACUGUACCCGUUGUACUUAAGGAUUCCCAACAUGGAGCAUCAUCUGAGCAAGAUGUCGCCAUCCUAGGAUCUACUCCUAAAUCUCUACUUGUCUUAUGUGUAAAGUUGGCCAAACUAUAUUAACUUCUCCAUCUCUGUAAUAUUUAAUCUGUUUUCAGGGCAUUCAACCAACCAACUAAUCAUGCAAGUCUGGUGGGAAGCAUGAUGGACUUGGAGACAGAGUUUGGCUCAAAUUUCACCUCAGAUACUUGCUAGCUUUAGGACUCUGGGCAAGUCCCUCAAUAUUUUUCAGCUUAAGUUUCAUCUAUAAAAUGGGAGUAAAAUAGCAUCUAAUCCAUUGAUUUUAUUCUAAGGAUCAAAUGAAAUAAAAUACAAAGAACUUUGUAAA